GGACGAACGCUGGCGGCGUGCCUAAUACAUGCAAGUCGAGCGGACCGACGGGAGCUUGCUCCCUUAGGUCAGCGGCGGACGGGUGAGUAACACGUGGGUAACCUGCCUGUAAGACUGGGAUAACUCCGGGAAACCGGGGCUAAUACCGGAUGCUUGAUUGAACCGCAUGGUUCAAUCAUAAAAGGUGGCUUUUAGCUACCACUUACAGAUGGACCCGCGGCGCAUUAGCUAGUUGGUGAGGUAACGGCUCACCAAGGCGACGAUGCGUAGCCGACCUGAGAGGGUGAUCGGCCACACUGGGACUGAGACACGGCCCAGACUCCUACGGGAGGCAGCAGUAGGGAAUCUUCCGCAAUGGACGAAAGUCUGACGGAGCAACGCCGCGUGAGUGAUGAAGGUUUUCGGAUCGUAAAACUCUGUUGUUAGGGAAGAACAAGUACCGUUCGAAUAGGGCGGCACCUUGACGGUACCUAACCAGAAAGCCACGGCUAACUACGUGCCAGCAGCCGCGGUAAUACGUAGGUGGCAAGCGUUGUCCGGAAUUAUUGGGCGUAAAGCGCGCGCAGGCGGUUUCUUAAGUCUGAUGUGAAAGCCCCCGGCUCAACCGGGGAGGGUCAUUGGAAACUGGGGAACUUGAGUGCAGAAGAGGAGAGUGGAAUUCCACGUGUAGCGGUGAAAUGCGUAGAGAUGUGGAGGAACACCAGUGGCGAAGGCGACUCUCUGGUCUGUAACUGACGCUGAGGCGCGAAAGCGUGGGGAGCGAACAGGAUUAGAUACCCUGGUAGUCCACGCCGUAAACGAUGAGUGCUAAGUGUUAGAGGGUUUCCGCCCUUUAGUGCUGCAGCAAACGCAUUAAGCACUCCGCCUGGGGAGUACGGUCGCAAGACUGAAACUCAAAGGAAUUGACGGGGGCCCGCACAAGCGGUGGAGCAUGUGGUUUAAUUCGAAGCAACGCGAAGAACCUUACCAGGUCUUGACAUCCUCUGACAACCCUAGAGAUAGGGCUUCCCCUUCGGGGGCAGAGUGACAGGUGGUGCAUGGUUGUCGUCAGCUCGUGUCGUGAGAUGUUGGGUUAAGUCCCGCAACGAGCGCAACCCUUGAUCUUAGUUGCCAGCAUUCAGUUGGGCACUCUAAGGUGACUGCCGGUGACAAACCGGAGGAAGGUGGGGAUGACGUCAAAUCAUCAUGCCCCUUAUGACCUGGCCUACACACGUGCUACAAUGGGCAGAACAAAGGGCAGCGAAGCCGCGAGGCUAAGCCAAUCCCACAAAUCUGUUCUCAGUUCGGAUCGCAGUCUGCAACUCGACUGCGUGAAGCUGGAAUCGCUAGUAAUCGCGGAUCAGCAUGCCGCGGUGAAUACGUUCCC
rnacentral:rRNA from 1 species